GGGAAAGAGAUUAGGGUGGCCCGAUGUAAUUUUAUUAUUGUCGGCUUUGGGCACCCUAAUCUGCUGUUUGUGGGGAAGCCUGAGCAACAUAUACCUAGAACGCUUCUAAGAAGUGGAGUUUAGGAUUAAAAUAGGUUUUAAAUGUGUAGAACUCCUAAGCGAUGUGGAAUCCUGCCAAAAGUGACUGAAGGCUGAUUUUGGAAAAUGCUGUAGGAACACCAGACCCCAAGCUUUGUGAGCCUAGAGCAACCCAGAGUCCCAGCUUAUGGGUGUAUAUUGAGCUACAGGUGAGCUGGGUGCCUCAGAGUCCAGUCGUGAAGAUGCUGACAUUGAGCAGGGUGUCCUCAAGUUAAGAGGCAAGCCUGAAUGUAGGAUUGAGUUUUACUCCUGAUCUUCAGACUUGGGUAUGUCCGGCUAGUCACGCUACAUUUUUGAACUCUUACCCCCUUGUUUGAUGGCUGGAGUUUGCUUUGACAAAACACAACCAGGGUAAGUCCUGGGGCCCCUACUUUAACUUAUUUGCCUCUAUGUAGGUAUCACAUGGCAGUUCAGAUAACUCCUUUGCACCGGAGGACAGAGUUUCAUAUUCUGUGUUUCCCAAGAGAGCACAGAAGGGUAAAUCACUUUGGAAAUGGGGCUUAUAAAGUACUCCUAUGAAAGUGUUGUUUAUGCAUGAGGAGACCAGGCUUCUAAUCUCUAUUCCAGAGAAUAGUUAAAUCUUUUGUAUUAAAUGGAACAGGGAUUAGGUCUCAUAAUUCCAUGUAGCACAUCUUAAAUGCUAGGUUGUACAGACAUGCUCGUCUCUUGGCUAAUAAUUGCUGAAUUAGUCUAUGGCGUUGUAAUAGUUUCAGAUGUUCUUCUAGCUUUACAGUCAGGGCGCUUUCUUUUGGGGUGGUAGAGAUAUUAGGCAGGAGUUUUGAAUUUUUCCUUCACUGAGGUCAAAGGCAAGUCAGGGGCAGAAGUUAGGCAGGGAAAAAUCAGUUUUUUCAAAUAUACCUGUCCUUUUUAGGAUAGUAGUAAAAAUAGAGAAGAAAGGUUACUUCCUUCCCUUCUUCCCCUGGAAGAUUCUUCUUGAAAACAAACUCAGGGUAGCUAAUAAAACAAAAAGGUAGGAAGGAGAAGUCUGACUCAGAUGGAAUUGUUCAAACCUGAUUUUUGUUGGAGGACCAAUAGUUUAAAGCACUAACUCUACAUUCUGCAAGGUAGUGCAUUGUAUUGGUACGUUAUUCGGGAUCAUAACUAAACAGGACUUAGUGAUAUACAUGAUGUACAUUCUUGGACUGCACUGCUUGAAAGCAUCUUAAAUAAUUUUUCAAGUUUACUGAAAACCAAAAUCAAUGUUUUUAACCUGACAUUCCUCUUUUCAAAGGUCAUUCUGCAUAUGACAGGAAAUGUAAAAGGCCAACAGAGAUAAAUUGACUACAAACACAGGAGCAGUGUCAGCAGAAAAUAUCUCAAAACCAUUUAUGGAUUAUGUUUCCUCGUUUACAGUGUAUUAUACUCACAGUGAGCAGCUGCCUGUGGACUCUUAGAUCCAGAAAACAUGUGCCAAGAGAUGCCAUGUGAAGACGAACCAACAGACGUGGGUGAAAGUCCCACGCUGUGCACUGAUAGCAGCAUUCUUUUGGGUCAUUGCCUUGAUAACUCCACACCCAGUGAGUAAUACGGUCAUACGGCAGUGACAAGCCACUGUUGCCCAGGGAGAAGGAAGCUCUUUCUGUGUUCCUAACCAGACAUAUUCAAAGGUCACGAUAUUAUUCGCUCUGGUGCUGCGCUCUGCAUACCGGAUAGCGGAAUGAAAUGCCUGUGCGUGUCAGAUAGAAGUAGAAGCAGACAAGAAAAGUGAACUACUUCUGGAUGGACUCUGACAGAUCAUCCACUGCAUGUCCAAAUAUGUCACAGGAAAGCACACCAGCUAAUAACAUUUAGGAGUCUCUUGUGAGAGCAAUGGAAGGUGGUUUUGAACUCAUUUGGUAUGGAGCAUCCACUGUGGUUUGGCCUCUGUUGUGUUGCCGAUCAGAUUAGCACCACUGAACUGUUUUGCACACUUAUCACAGGUGACAAACAAGCAAAAUUCCAGAGUGUGAGAUCUUUAAAAAACCAAAUUUGGGUUAUCUCAGAUGGGCUUUGUAGAAAAUGUUACAACUCCACACACUUCUUGUGGAAAGGGCGUGAGUAUUUGAAAACUCCAGACUUUCACCUGAAUCUUACCAGUGGGUCAAUGUGGUUGUCAUGCUACAUUUCGUAAGCCCUGGAGAAAAGUAGUUUUGAUGGCUAUUAUGUGAUUUGACCUGCAUCACAGAUAUGGCUUUAAUUCACAGAUUACACAUGAACAACUGAAAAUGUCUAAAUGUGCGUGGUUGAAUUUGCUUCCUUCAUGUCAUGAAAAACCAACCAAACAGCCCCUUGCCCCAAGAUGUCACUGAUGUGUGGGGGGAAUGAGCUUGGGAACUUAACCCUCCAAAGGAGAGGGGGCAUUUUUAUAUCCAAGUGAGUUUUAUUACUUCAAAUAACUGUAAAAGAUGCAGAUCUCUCUAUUUAUUGUUGAAGUCUCUAAAAUCUGAUUUCCAGAUGGCAGCCUAGUAAGUCCUCUUAUCACCAAACUUACUCCCUCCCUUCUUAUUGAUGGGGGGACUUAAAAAUGGGUUCACUCUGAAAAAGUAAGUACAGAGCAGGAAUAACUGACUGUCUGGAACAGAAAUGGGAAUUUUAAUGUGAGACUGAGAAGGUGAGAAAUUAUCUAACAGAAGACGAUGCAGGAUUUAAAACUAGCAGCAGGAAAAGCUUUUUAGAAAGAGCUGCCAAAGCUUUUGCUGAUCUGACAUGAUGAACAAACCUGGCUGGCUCACCUGGAAAUGGAAAGCACUUCUGAAGAAGGUUGAGGAUAACACUCCACUUUACUGACUUUCAAGGUACACAAUCUGUCCAGAUGUUUGGGCUAUUCUUGCAGCGUUUGGAAGUGCCUCUUCUUAAGAGGUGUAGUGUAGUCCUGAACUACUCUGGUUGGAGGAACUCUGUCAUUCCCAUUAGUCUGAGAAAUGAAUAGUGGAAGCCAGAGAUAGACAUGAUACAGCCACCUCUCUGAAAAAGCCCCUGAUGUUACGGAACAUUAGGAACGAACCCUCUUUAUAAUUGCUCCUUUGGGUUUCUCCUUGGAGGGCUGUUCCUGGUGCAUCAUAACUCACCUAACCAGCUGCAAUAGUUUGAGAGUAUCCGCUGUGGCUGUGCAGGCGAAAUGGAAGAUGUAUCUUGGAGUUUCUUUUUAGCUUUUGUGAGUUCGCAUUAGCAAAACUAUAUUCCUACAUGUUCACGGUCACUUAGGCAGCCCUGCUUGCAGACUCUGCCCUCAAUGUCGGUGAAGCAGGAUGCCAGGCUUUGACCCCAUCAGGUCAUGGCAGCAAGACAGGCUGCAUCAGAAUAGACCAAUUUUCACACCACAUAUAUGUGAGGUAUUUGCUCUUGUGCUGAUGCACUGAGGGAUGAGUAUGGUGAUGGACAGAGAGCUGGGGUAGAUGCAACUCUGAGACCUUGAUGACCUGCAUCUGUUGCCAUGUAAGCAGGGUAAUGUUCUACCAAGGCAAAACAGUGGAGGAGAAGACUCCACAGCAGAGGCCAACAGCAAGCUGGUCUUAACUGUAGUUAGUUUUCCCAACUCUCACUUUUGGUUAACUAGAAUAGAAGGUUGUAUGAAUAGCAUCUCACUUCUCCUGAUCUUAAAAGGAAAUUUUAAGUAGCACGCAGCAACCAAUUUACUUCCUGACCUGAAAUGCAGUAUGAAUUAUUACCGUUGAACAGUGGGAUUUAAAGUAGUUCAGUUUCAAGCUCAGCCUUUCUGAUCCAAAGCUUUGGGGAGCGAGAGAUGCUUGCCUCUACAGACAGCAAAGCUUGGAGGGACCCAAGGAGAUUAGGAGCUCCUGCAGCUUUGCUCCUCUUCUCUCUCAGCUUAGUUUCCCUAACCAUGUUGAUGUCAUAAGUACAGUUGCAUGGAGGUGCAACAUAAGGGUAGUGGUGAGUAUAUCGGGCUUCCUUUCCAUUCAAUCUCUUUUUGUUUAUUUGUAUUGAACCUGUAGCAACCUGUCUGGAUAAGGAACAAUUUCAAAGUAAACAGCGCACAGCUGCCAAGUGAAGUACAUGUAUAAAUACACCAUCAGUGGUAGCAGCAUGGCAACGAUGUCUCUACUGUCAGACCAUUUGCCACUUUGAAGGGGCCUGCGUCUCUUCAGUGCUACACAGAGCACAGUUCAGGGACCCAACUGCAGGUUUUCAGCAAGCAGAAUUGCUAGGGGGCCCAGGCAGCAGCAUCCUCGUGAGAGCAGCUCUUCUGGGUACCUGAAGAUUUCUACACAAGGAAAAUUUGGGAUGAUCUUUUCCCCUGCAAAUUGAGCCAUGGUGGUGAAUUUCCAGACACAUAUGAGGACAAGGCAGAUUAUUUUGUGUUGCGGAAGAAAAUCAGAGGUAAAAGGCAUGCCCAGGUUGGUUCUGUGCUGCGCUCCUGGUGUACGCAAAUACCUCGGUUAUCCACAGUAACCCCGCUUCAACUUGAGAAUAGUUUUAUUGAGGUACAUGGACUAAAUCCCAUCAUCCAACACGGGUUGCUAAUGCAGUUCCAGGGAUAUAUGGUGUUCCUUUGGAUUUGCUUCCGUGAAGUAAAGGCUGAGCCUGACUUUGAAGGUGUUCCAGGCUCCUUUCUGAUGUCGGCGACUGUCACGCUGGGCGAGGGUGGAGUUACCUCCUUGCUGCUGAAGGCAGAGGUCGCCCACUAGUCUUGGCUGCACACGGAUCAACCCUUGGAAUGUCAACAUUUCAGUUAUUUUUAUUGAAGAAAGAAGUAAUGGGCAAAGUUGAAUCUCUCUUUCUUUAUGGAACUGCUUACAGAGCAAGGUUGCACUGUGCCUGGGAAUGCCGUAUCUGACUCCUAUGAACAGAAACAACAUCUGAUAUGAUAAGUGUUCUGCUUAUGCUCUUAUGGAGUGCCGACUGAAAAUACACUUAAUUUUCUGCGAACGUGAAUAAAAUCGUGAAGGGAAAUGUAUUGGGUAGUAAAAUGCUCUUAAACAUCCUAGAUUUCUAACAGAGAAGAUAAAAGAGUCAGUGUGUAUAUGUGUGCAGAGAGACCAUAAUUUGUUUUCUUUUUUUUAAUUCCUGCUGGAGAGAAGAGAAGAUGGUAUUGCUUUCUAUUACUUUUUAUGUUCUUUUUCUGGAAAACAUUUUGGAGAUGAAAUUGAGGAGAAAAAGCUUUUGAUGGAUUUCAAAACAACCAACCAAAUACAGAAACGUGUUUUUCUGCUC